GAGUUUGAUCAUGGCUCAGGAUGAACGCUGGCGGCGUGCUUAACACAUGCAAGUCGAACGAACCUUCGGGUUAGUGGCGGACGGGUGAGUAACGCGUGAGAAUCUGCCCUCAGGAGGGGGACAACAGCUGGAAACGGCUGCUAAUACCCCAUAUGCCGCGAGGUGAAAUGAAUUUCGCCUGAGGAUGAGCUCGCGUCUGAUUAGCUAGUUGGUGUAGGUAAUGGCUCACCAAGGCAUCGAUCAGUAGCUGGUCUGAGAGGAUGAUCAGCCACACUGGGACUGAGACACGGCCCAGACUCCUACGGGAGGCAGCAGUGGGGAAUUUUCCGCAAUGGGCGAAAGCCUGACGGAGCAACGCCGCGUGAGGGAUGAAGGCCUCUGGG
rnacentral:rRNA from 1 species